UUGUCAAUCUAGAAUUCAUUAAGGCUAUAGUUACUGCUGAAGAAGUGCUGGUGCUGGAUCCUAUGUCUCAUGAAGUUAUUCCCUUCAUAGAACAGUUGAGACAACAACUUCCUCUGAAAAGUCCAUCUAGAAUUCAUACUCCUGGUCAUACGGGCACACAAAACAAAGAAAAUCCUUCAGAUGGACAAUGGAUGCACAUGAAUGAGG
rnacentral:misc_RNA from 1 species